UACGUAGGGGGCAAGCGUUGUCCGGAUUUACUGGGCUUAAAGGGUGUGUAGGCGGGCUUUUAAGUCAGUGGUGAAAUCUCCGGGCUCAACCUGGAAACUGCCAUUGAUACUAUUAGUCUUGAAUAUUGUUGAGGUAGGCGGAAUAAGUCAUGUAGCGGUGAAAUGCAUAGAUAUGACUUAGAACACCGAUUGCGAAGGCAGCUUACUAAGCAAUGAUUGACGCUGAGGCACGAAAGCGUGGGGAUCAAACAGG
rnacentral:rRNA from 1 species